CGGGUGAGUAAUGUCUGGGAAACUGCCUGAUGAAGGGGGAUAACUACUGGAAACGGUAGCUAAUACCGCAUAAUGUCGCAAGACCAAAGAGGGGGACCUUCGGGCCUCUUGCCAUCGGAUGUGCCCAGAUGGGAUUAGCUAGUUGGUGGGGUAACGGCUCACCAAGGCGACGAUCCCUAGCUGGUCUGAGAGGAUGACCAGCCACACUGGAACUGAGACACGGUCCAGACUCCUACGGGAGGCAGCAGUGGGGAAUAUUGCACAAUGGGCGCAAGCCUGAUGCAGCCAUGCCGCGUGUAUGAAGAAGGCCUUCGGGUUGUAAAGUACUUUCAGCGGGGAGGAAGGGAGUAAAGUUAAUACCUUUGCUCAUUGACGUUACCCGCAGAAGAAGCACCGGCUAACUCCGUGCCAGCAGCCGCGGUAAUACGGAGGGUGCAAGCGUUAAUCGGAAUUACUGGGCGUAAAGCGCACGCAGGCGGUUUGUUAAGUCAGAUGUGAAAUCCCCGGGCUCAACCUGGGAACUGCAUCUGAUACUGGCAAGCUUGAGUCUCGUAGAGGGGGGUAGAAUUCCAGGUGUAGCGGUGAAAUGCGUAGAGAUCUGGAGGAAUACCGGUGGCGAAGGCGGCCCC
rnacentral:rRNA from 1 species